rnacentral:tRNA from 1 species
GGGGCCGUAGCUCAGAUGGGAGAGCGCAUGACUGGCAGUCAUGAGGUCGAGGGUUCGAUCCCCUUCGGCUCCACAA